rnacentral:misc_RNA from 1 species
UCUCCGUUGGUGAACCAGCGGAGGGAUCAUUACCGAGUUUACAACUCCCAAACCCCUGUGAACAUACCAUUUGUUGCCUCGGCGGUGCCUGCUUCGGAAGCCCGCCAGAGGACCCAAACCCUUGAUUUUAUACAGUAUCUUCUGAGUAAAUGAUUAAAUAAAUCAAAACUUUCAACAACGGAUCUCUUGGUUCUG